rnacentral:lncRNA from 10 species
UACCCUGACUGUGUCCUGCCCUCUAUCUCCAUCAGUGUUACUCUAGUGCGGGCACCAUCUUCAAUCACCUGGACCACUCCAAGAGCCUCUUAAUUGGUUUUCCUGCUUCUCUUGCCCACAUAUUUUGAGCCCUUGUUCUCAGGAAAGCAGUCUGCCAUUUUGUGAGUAUCCCUGAGAAGAGGCCCAUAUGGCAAGGAACUGAUGCCAUCAACAGAGUGAGAGUAUGAACACUGCCAACAUCCACAUGAGUGAGGUGGGGAGCAGAUGUCCCUGUCCAGCCUUGAGAUGACUACGGCCCCAGCAGAUACAUGAUUGCAGUCUUGUCACAGAUCCCAAGUGAGAGGCUCUCAGCUAAGUGGCUCCUGGAUUCCUGACCCACAGAAACUGUGAGAUAAUUACAGGAAUGACCUUGGAAAUAAGCAAGGGAUGUCUUCAUUUCACAUGUGGGAAAAACUGGUUCUCAAAGAAGUUAAGUAAUUUAUCCAAGAUGGGAAAUCUGGCGGAGUGGCGGGGCAGAGAACUUUUAUAAUCUUCUAAUAUUUGUAGAAAUUAUUUAACAGUUAUGCUGUUUUAGAAUCAGGUAUUUAUGAAAGUU